AACGAACGCUGGCGGCAUGCCUAACACAUGCAAGUCGAACGAGACCUUCGGGUCUAGUGGCGCACGGGUGCGUAACGCGUGGGAACCUGCCCUUAGGUUCGGAAUAACUCCCCGAAAGGGGUGCUAAUACCGGAUAAUGUCUUCGGACCAAAGAUUUAUCGCCUUUGGAUGGGCCCGCGUUGGAUUAGCUAGUUGGUAGGGUAAAAGCCUACCAAGGCGACGAUCCAUAGCUGGUCUGAGAGGAUGAUCAGCCACACUGGGACUGAGACACGGCCCAGACUCCUACGGGAGGCAGCAGGGGGGAAUAUUGGACAAUGGGCGAAAGCCUGAUCCAGAAAUGCCGGGGGAGUGAUGAAGGCCUUAGGGUUGUAAAGCUUUUUUCCCCGGGAUGAUAAUGACAGUACCGGGAGAAUAAGCCCCGGCAAACUCCGU
rnacentral:rRNA from 1 species